CAUCUGCCCCAGGGUUUCUUGUGGCCACUUAUAUGGAACCACAGCUGUACAGGUGCUGGAGGUGAUAAGUGCACCUGUACUCUGCUGCAGCCCCAGUCCAGCACCCCGGUGCUACAGCCCUCUGUGCAGGAAGCUAGAGCUCCAAGACACAGCGGAAUAGCAGAAGAGGAUGGAGAAGACAAAGGAAAGUAGAGCAAAGGAAUAAAACAGAGAACGUCCAGGAACCAAGGUCCAGAACGCAACCCAGUGGGACUUUGUUCCCGUAUAAAUGUGACAAGCAUAUUGCAGGAUUCCCUGAUAAAAUCAGGGAUUGCAGCUUUCUUAGAUGCGGUAACCGGAGGCCACUUGACUCCCUGUAGGAAGCCGCAGCCACCUGCCUGGGCUGCGGCUGAUUCCAAUCACAGGCUGCGUAAUUGAAUCCCCGGCUCUUACCUUUCCUUUGUAGCAUCCUCAGUCUGAAUAAACAUUUACAGAUGUGUCUGGGGGUCUGCCGCUCGCUUAGACUUCUCCCUUUUAUCACCUCCAUAUCCUAUUCCUACACUUCAUAACGCAGCAUUGUUGUUUGACAAAACCCCCUCCGAGCCUCCUGUUUAAUUACAUUUCAAUGGCACUUGUGCUAUGUGAGGUGGAAUACGUUCUGCAUAAAAUACCUCUGAAAUGUACAAUGCAAUAAAAUUAUUUC